UGGCUUAGGACGAACGCUGGCGGCGUGCCUAAUACAUGCAAGUCGAACGGUCUUUCUAUGGAAGCUUGCUUCCACUGAGAAGAUAGUGGCGAACGGGUGAGUAACACGUGGGUAACCUGCCCAUAAGAGGGGGAUAACAUCCGGAAACGGGUGCUAAUACCGCAUAGUUUUCUUGAUCGCAUGAUCGGGAAAGGAAAGACGGCCUUUGUGCUGUCGCUUAUGGAUGGACCCGCGGCGUAUUAGUUAGUUGGUGAGGUAACGGCUCACCAAGACGAUGAUACGUAGCCGACCUGAGAGGGUGAUCGGCCACAUUGGGACUGAGACACGGCCCAAACUCCUACGGGAGGCAGCAGUAGGGAAUCUUCCGCAAUGGACGAAAGUCUGACGGAGCAACGCCGCGUGAGUGAAGAAAGGUUUUCGGAUCGUAAAACUCUGUUGCCAGAGAAGAACAAGUUGGAGAGUAACUGCUCCAGCCUUGACGGUAUCUGACCAGAAAGCCACGGCUAACUACGUGCCAGCCGCAGC
rnacentral:rRNA from 1 species